CUGACUGUUGUGGUGUAGAGAGGUUGUUUACCUAAGGUAGUCCUGACUGUUGUGGUGUAGAGAGGUUGUUUACCUAAGGUAGUCCUGACUGUUGUGGUGUAGAGAGGUUGUUUACCUGAGGUAGUCCUGACUGUUGUGGUGUAGAGAGGUUGUUUACCUGAGGUAGUCCUGACUGUUGUGGUGUAGAGAGGUUGUUUACCUGAGGUAGUACUGACUGUUG